UGGCGGACGGGUGAGUAAUGUCUGGGAAACUGCCUGAUGGAGGGGGGUAACUACUGGAAACGGUAGCUAAUACCGCAUAACGUCGCAAGACCAAAGAGGGGGACCUUAGGGCCUCUUGCCAUCGGAUGUGCCCAGAUGGGAUUAGCUAGUAGGUGGGGUAACGGCUCACCUAGGCGACGAUCCCUAGCUGGUCUGAGAGGAUGACCAGCCACACUGGAACUAAGACACGGUCCAG
rnacentral:rRNA from 1 species